UAAUGAAGGAAGCAUGGUAAUGUGCACAUAAAUUGAAUUGGACCUCUAGGCCUGUCCUCUCUGAUGUCAUGUGACUUUGAUUUUGGGGCAUGGUUCCGCAGCAAAACA